rnacentral:tRNA from 1 species
CGGGCAGUGGCGCAGUCCGGUAGCGCACUAGCAUGGGGGGCUAGGGGUCCCGGGUUCAAAUCCCGGCUGCCCGA